rnacentral:rRNA from 1 species
CCCUUAGACGUUCUGGGCCGCACGCGCGCUACACUGACCAGUGCAACAAGCAUCCGUCCUUGGCCGACAGGCCCGGGCAAUCUUUGAACGCUGGUCGUGAUGGGGAUAGACUUUUGCAAUUUUUGGUCUUCAACGAGGAAUUCCUAGUAAACGCAAGUCAUCAACUUGCAUUGAUUACGUCCCUGCCCUUUGUACACACCGCCCGUCGCACCUACCGAUUGAAUGGUCCGGUGAAGCCUCCGGAUUGGCGCGCACCUCGGUGCCGCCGAGAAGUUGGCUAAACCUUACCAUUUAGAGGAAGGAGAANUCGUANCA